UACUAGCGGUCCAAGUCGCAGCCAUUUUUAUUGGGUCUAAAACAUCCGUAGCUUGUUUGAUAAGUUUUUUGUGAAAUUUUGUAUCUUAAAUACAGAGCGGGCAAGAAAUACUAUCAAGCUAGAGACUGGAAGACGUAAGAAGUACGAUUGAGGUAGUGGUAAAAUACUUUAAUCUUGGUCGGACUAACAAUAGCGAAGGCAUCUUACGAGGACAGUUCUGACAGUAAGGGAUGAAGGCUAGGGGCGCAAAACGGAUUAGAUACCCCUGUA
rnacentral:rRNA from 1 species